AAAGAAAAAACCCUGCAAAUACCUGCAGGGUCCUUCUAUAUCCUUUUAACAGGACAGAAGGCAAAGGGAGAGGAGAAACCGGAGGAAGAACUUAUGGGGAAACGUAAGUCUUCUCCGCGG
rfam:Bacillus methanolicus MGA3, complete genome.